rnacentral:rRNA from 1 species
GAUGAACGCUGGCGGCGUGCCUAAUACAUGCAAGUCGAGCGAACAGACGAGGAGCUUGCUCCUCUGACGUUAGCGGCGGACGGGUGAGUAACACGUGGAUAACCUACCUAUAAGACUGGGAUAACUUCGGGAAACCGGAGCUAAUACCGGAUAAUAUAUUGAACCGCAUGGUUCAAUAGUGAAAGACGGUUUUGCUGUCACUUAUAGAUGGAUCCGCGCCGCAUUAGCUAGUUGGUAAGGUAACGGCUUACCAAGGCAACGAUGCGUAGCCGACCUGAGAGGGUGAUCGGCCACACUGGAACUGAGACACGGUACAGACUCCGACGGGAGGCAGCAGUAGGGAAUCGUCCGCAAUGGGCGAAAGCCUGACGGAGCAACGCCGCGUGAGUGAUGAAGGUCUUCGGAUCGUAAAACUCUGUUAUUAGGGAAGAACAAAUGUGUAAGUAACUAUGCACGUCUUGACGGUACCUAAUCAGAAAGCCACGGCUAACUACGUG